rnacentral:rRNA from 1 species
AGGGCACCACCAGGAGUGGAGCCUGCGGCUUAAUUUGACUCAACACGGGAAAUCUCACCAGGCCCGGACACCAGAAGGAUUGACAGAUUGAUAGCUCUUUCUUGAUUUGGUGGGUGGUGGUGCAUGGCCGUUCUUAGUUGGUGGAGCGAUUUGUCUGGUUAAUUCCGAUAACGAACGAGACUCUAGCCUAUUAAAUAGGCUCCCGGCUUUUAAACGCCGGGAGGACUUCUUAGAGGGACAGGUGGCGGUUCAGCCGCACGAAAGAGAGCAAUAACAGGUCUGUGAUGCCCUUUGUUGUCCGGGGCCGCACGCGCGCUACACUGAAGAGAUCAGCGUGCUUUACGUUCCUGCUCCGACCGGAGUGGGGAACCCAGUGAACCUUCUUCGUGAUUGGGAUAGAAGAUUGUAAUUAUUCUUCUUGAACGAGGAAUUCCCAGUAAAUGCGAGUCAUAAGCUCGCGUUGAUUACGUCCCUGCCCUUUGUACACACCGCCCGUCGCUACUACCGAUUGAACGAUUU